ACCUGGCUGGCUCAGUUGGUAGAGCAUGAGGCUCUUGGUCUUGGGGUUGUGAGUUUAAGCCCCAUGUCAGGUG
rnacentral:tRNA from 1 species